UGUGCCCUCACCGAAGGAGAGUACGUGGAAAGACUUUGCCCAUAUCUGUCACAUUAUGGAAUGGGCAAUGCCACUUUUCUUCACUUGACCAAGAUGAAAUUCAGUCCCACUCCAGGCGAUGAAGGUGAUCUGGAGGCCGUCAAAAAUCUUGAGUUUCCACCGUUACUUGUGCACCACUGAAACAAGACCACAUUUCAAUGAAGGCCAGGAGAUUCCCAAAGGACCCGACGGACAUCACUCAAGCCUAUCACAGGAAAAACGUGUCCUCACACCUGCUUGAAUCCUUUUUAUAUUUUGACGUUCAUAUCUGUCUCUCCUUGACCAAAAAACCUUGCCGCUUUAGAUUAAAACGAAAAGUGCCGGUAAAGUGUCAGUAUUCACACAAAUACAAAACACCAGAGACAUUAGACAUCCAGAAAGGAAAUGUAUUGAUUUUAUUGUAGUUGAUUUACAGGAAAAGAACUACGAAAGCAACCAGAAAGUGCAGGAGAGCUACUGCAACUGUAAAUUCAAUAUUAUGUAACUGGUUUAUCCAUUAUUAAUUAGAAGAUUUAAAAUAAAAUGGUGUAUACAAGAGUAACA
ensembl:lncRNA